rnacentral:rRNA from 1 species
AUUGAACGCUGGCGGCAGGCCUAACACAUGCAAGUCGAACGGUAACAGGAAACAGCUUGCUGUUUCGCUGACGAGUGGCGGACGGGUGAGUAAUGUCUGGGAAACUGCCUGAUGGAGGGGGAUAACUACUGGAAACGGUAGCUAAUACCGCAUAACGUCGCAAGACCAAAGAGGGGGACCCUCGGGCCUCUUGCCAUCGGAUGUGCCCAGAUGGGAUUAGCUUGUUGGUGGGGUAACGGCUCACCAAGGCGACGAUCCCUAGCUGGUCUGAGAGGAUGACCAGCCACACUGGAACUGAGACACGGUCCAGACUCCUACGGGAGGCAGCAGUGGGGAAUAUUGCACAAUGGGCGCAAGCCUGAUGCAGCCAUGCCGCGUGUAUGAAGAAGGCCUUCGGGUUGUAAAGUACUUUCAGCGGGGAGGAAGGGAGUAAAGUUAAUACCUUUGCUCAUUGACGUUACCCGCAGAAGAAGCACCGGCUAACUCCGUGCCAGCAGCCGCGGUAAUACGGAGGGUGCAAGCGUUAAUCGGAAUUACUGGGCGUAAAGCGCACGCAGGCGGUUUGUUAAGUCAGAUGUGAAAUCCCCGGGCUCAACCUGGGGACUGCAUCUGAUACUGGCAAGCUUGAGUCUCGUAGAGGGGGGUAGAAUUCCAGGUGUAGCGGUGAAAUGCGUAGAGAUCUGGAGGAAUACCGGUGGCGAAGGCGGCCCCCUGGACGAAGACUGACGCUCAGGUGCGAAAGCGUGGGGAGCAAACAGGAUUAGAUACCCUGGUAGUCCACGCCGUAAACGAUGUCGACUUGGAGGUUGUGCCCUUGAGGCGUGGCUUCCGGAGCUAACGCGUUAAGUCGACCGCCUGGGGAGUACGGCCGCAAGGUUAAAACUCAAAUGAAUUGACGGGGGCCCGCACAAGCGGUGGAGCAUGUGGUUUAAUUCGAUGCAACGCGAAGAACCUUACCUGGUCUUGACAUCCACGGAAGUUUUCAGAGAUGAGAAUGUGCCUUCGGGAACCGUGAGACAGGUGCUGCAUGGCUGUCGUCAGCUCGUGUUGUGAAAUGUUGGGUUAAGUCCCGCAACGAGCGCAACCCUUAUCCUUUGUUGCCAGCGGUCCGGCCGGGAACUCAAAGGAGACUGCCAGUGAUAAACUGGAGGAAGGUGGGGAUGACGUCAAGUCAUCAUGGCCCUUACGACCAGGGCUACACACGUGCUACAAUGGCGCAUACAAAGAGAAGCGACCUCGCGAGAGCAAGCGGACCUCAUAAAGUGCGUCGUAGUCCGGAUUGGAGUCUGCAACUCGACUCCAUGAAGUCGGAAUCGCUAGUAAUCGUGGAUCAGAAUGCCACGGUGAAUACGUUCCCGGGCCU